rnacentral:rRNA from 1 species
UACGUAGGGUGCGAGCGUUAAUCGGAAUUACUGGGCGUAAAGCGUGCGUAGGCGGUUCGUUGUGUCUGUGGUGAAAGCCCCGGGCUUAACCUGGGAAUGGCCAUGGAAACUGGCGAGCUGGAGUGUGGCAGAGGGGGGUGGAAUUCCGCGUGUAGCAGUGAAAUGCGUAGAUAUCGGAAGGAACACCAGUGGCGAAAGCGGCUUCCUGGUCCAGCACCGACGUUCAGGCACGAAAGCGUGGGGAGCAAACAGG